rnacentral:rRNA from 1 species
CCUACGGGUGGCAGCAGUGGGGAAUAUUGCACAAUGGGGGAAACCCUGAUGCAGCGACGCCGCGUAAGUGAAGAAGUAAUUCGUUACGUAAAGCUCUAUCAGCAGGGAAGAAACACUGACCUUACGGUCAGCAGACGGUACCUGAGUAAGAAGCCCCGGCAACUACGGCCCAGCAGCCGCGGUAAUAAGUCGGGGGCAAGGGGUAUCCGGGUUUACUGGGGGGAAAGGGGGCGUAGACGGGGGGCCAAGUCUGGAGGGAAAUGCCGCAGCUUAACUGCGGAACCGCUGUGGAAACUGGCGAACUAGAGUGCGGGAGGGGUAAGCGGAAUUCCUGGUGUAGCGGUGAAAUGCGUAGAUAUUAGGAGGAACACCGGUGGCGAAGGCGGCUUACUGGACCGUAACUGACGUUGAGGCUCGAAAGCGUGGGGAGCAAACAGGAUUAGAUACCCGAGUAGUC